AUAAUUCUUGGUUCUAGUCAGUCUUCACACCAUGGAGCAAUGACUGUGUUCUCUCCUUGCCAGAUGUCGACGAGUGGCAACUCGAGGAGGAACAAGAAGAAACAACUGGCAGGUGGCAAGAGGAGGAGAUGAUGUGGCAGGAGAAGAACAAUUCGGGAUUUUUAACAGAGUGGCUAACUUCUCGUGUGAAAGCAGCAGGCAGCUGGACACUGCGGGCGAUGCUGGACCCAUCUUGUGGGUGGUGGUGGAGCUGCGACCUCCCCCCGGGGGGGUCAGAAUCCUUGUGCCUUCCUCAGCCCCCACAACCCCGCCACGUUCAUCCCACUGGUGAUGCCGGUGCCAAGGGGAUCCCCGGGGACCGUGGGGCCGGACUUUGUGUCAUGGUGUGAAUGCAACAUGUUCGACAGCAUACCUGCCGGGGAAAAUCUCUUCUCUGAUGGGUAAGGAAAUAUCAUUUUUCAUGAAAGACAUCAGAAAAAAUGAAUGUGAAACUUCGGAACAGUUGGGGGCACGAUGACUUUCAGUGACAGGGAGGGCUCUAGCUGGGGAAGUCGCCAAGUGUCAGACCACACUAUCCUGCCUUUUCCUCGGCCGUCUGGGCUUCUGCACGGUGCUGCGUUAGCGCCUGGUCCUGGGUGCAGAGGGGCAGGAGACGUUUUCA
rnacentral:lncRNA from 1 species